rnacentral:sRNA from 1 species
CCGAAUUGUCAACAAGGGUUGUUGCUGGCCUCCAUWUGSGGGCAYGUGCACGCUCUGUUUACAUAUCCACUCACACCWGUGCACCUUCUGUAGUUCUAUGGUUUGGGAGGCUUUGUCCUCCUGCUGUGGUUCUACGUAUUUAUACACACACGUCUAAAUAAAGUCUUAUGGAAUGCAUGUCGCGUUUAACGCAAUGAAAUACAACUUUCAGCAACGGAUCUCUUGGCUCUCGCAUCGAUGAAGAACGCAGCGAAAUGCGAUAAGUAAUGUGAAUUGCAGAAUUCAGUGAAUCAUCGAAUCUUUGAACGCACCUUGCGCCCUUUGGCUAUUCCGAAGGGCAUGCCUGUUGAGUAUCAUGAACACCUCAACCCUCMUGGCUUGCCAUGACGGGCUUGGACUCUGGGGGUCUUGCUGGCCUGUGGGUCGGCUCCUCUCAAAUGAAUUAGCUUCCGGUAUUUGGUGGCACCACAGGUGUGAUAACUAUCUACACUUGCGGCUUUCUACCAGGCAACCUUUCACAACAGUGCGGAGGUUUGCUGGGGCUCACAGGUGUCUCUCCUCAGCGGAGACAAUUUUUUGCUG